UGGCAAGCCUUCCAGCAUGUUUGGAUCUGGGGUGACUCCUGGUAUUCCUGCAGUGCUUGCCAGAGUGUUCUGAAGUGGUUUGAGACCUGGCUCCGUCCCUUGUUUAGAGCACAGCCACAGGCAUUUCAGACAGUU
rnacentral:snoRNA from 12 species